AUUGCACGCUGGCGGCAGGCCUAACACAUGCAAGUCGAACGAGUGGCGGACGGGUGAGUAAUGUCUGGGAAACUGCCUGAUGGAGGGGGAUAACUAAUGGAAACGGUAGCUAAUACCGCAUACCAUCGGGUGUGCCCAGAGGGGAUUAGCUAGUAGGUGGGGUAAAGGCUCACCUAGGCGACGAUCCCUAGAUGGUGUGCGCGGAUGACCAGCCACACUGGAACUGGUACACGGUCCAGACUCAUACGGGAGGCAGCAGUGGGGAAUAUUGCACAAUGGGCGCAAGCCUGAUGCAGCCAUGCCGCGUGUAUGAAGAAGGCCUUCGGGUUGUAAAGUACUUUCAGCGGGGAGGCGUUACCCGCAGAAGAAGCACCGGCUAACUCCGUGCCAGCAGCCGCGGUAAUUC
rnacentral:rRNA from 1 species